rnacentral:tRNA from 1 species
GAGGGUACAGCUCAGUGGUAGAGCAUGUGCUUAGCAUGCACGAGGUCCUGGGUUCAAUCCCCAGUGCCUCCA